AUGAAUAAGAGAUACUUACAGAAAGCAACAAAAGGAAAACUGCUAAUAAUAAUAUUUGUUGUAACACUGUGGGGGAAAUUAGCAUCUGGUGCAAAUCAUCACAAAGCUCACCAUGUUAAAACUGGGACCUGUGAAGUGGUGGCGCUCCACAGAUGUUGUAAUAAGAACAAGAUAGAAGAAAGGUCACAGACGGUGAAGUGCUCCUGCUUCCCUGGGCAGGUAGCAGGUACCACCCGGGCAGCUCCUUCUUGUGUUGAUGCUUCAAUAGUGGAGCAGAAAUGGUGGUGCCAUAUGCAACCAUGUCUUGAAGGGGAAGAAUGUAAAGUUCUUCCAGAUCGGAAGGGAUGGAGCUGUUCCUCUGGGAAUAAAGUGAAAACAACUAGGGCAAACGUGUAAAACUCUUCAAGUCCGAAUGGAGAAGUAGAAAAAGGAGGUUUCUGCUGUGCCUGAUGACAAUUUUUGAUUUUUCCACACACAUAAAAUAUUCUGGCUCCGCGUUGGAGCACUAGUUGUGAUGAAUCCUAGUCUUGGUCGGAUUCUAAGGAAGGGCCAGACGUUCGUUGAGGAAUAAAGAGUCAAACCACUCCAGAAAAUGUGUUCCAGCCCUGGUUUAUUACUCACAGAGCAGCAGGUAACCCGAUAGCUAAAGACAAAUCAAGUCAACCUCGAGGCUGGUAACGUUAAACACAUCACGCAGGAAUUUCAUUCCUCCAGGCAAUCCUUGAAGUGAAAUUUUAUACUACUGGGUUGUAUCCUUCAGAAUCAAUUGUUUGAGUGAGAAUCUGGCUUGUAAUGAGCAGCAGCCUUGAGAUCAAAAAUACUGGAAAGUUAUUUUGAACUUCUAUGUCAAAAAGAUUUUUGACUAAUUGAACUGUGUACACUUGUAAAAUUGCACUUGUGGAGGAAUUUGCAGCUGUAAUCGCAAGAGGUGAUAUUCAAAAGGUGCAGAAAGGCAGCAGUCUCUCAGAUUCUCCGUUCCAGACUGGUGGCUUUUCAUCUUGAUGAAGUCAGCCUCCAAAAUGUACUGGUUCUGUCUCUCUAAACUGAACCCUGGUCGAGCAUUCAGAUUGCUGGUGGACUGCACACUGCUUUAAUUAAAUUUCUGUUGCAGAAAUUGUCCUCUGGCAUGGCACAGCUUUAGACAUUUUUAUUUGAAUUCUAAUCUUGCAGCUCUGAAAGGUACAUAUUUCAACAUCUUGAAGUUGCUUUUGUUAUAGGAAUGGAAAUAUAUAUCCAUUGUUAAUAAUUAUUGUUGACAAGUAAUAGUUAUCUGAAUACAUCAGUCAUAUUAGAAUGUAUAGUCAGGUUGACAUGUUUCCCUAAGGCUAACCAACUACUGCAGCUCUUUGGCAGUUAAACAAGCAGUGGUCAAAACUCAAUUACCACUUCCAUUAUAAGGCAUUUUAUACCUUUAAAAUAUACAUUUCCAUUUAGUUUGCAGGAGAUGGGUGUUCCUGUUAUGUACUUUACUCUCCUAACCUUUAAUUCUUUGAAAUUCAUGGUAGGCAGUCAAUGACACUGUUUUAUCCCUUUUUAUAAAGGUAGGCAGGGAUGUGUAUGAGUUUUGCAAUUCUGAAAUUGGAUGGUACUUAUUCAGAUCUUUUUUUUUAAUUAAAAAAUAAAAUCUAUUGCUUGAAUCCAAGUACUGUUGGAUGCUUAUGUAGAUGUCUGCUCACUCUGUUUGCUAUAAAGGAAAAAGCGCUUACAGUCAUCCAAUUCAGAUCUUCUGAUCCUUGCCAAAAUCAUUAUCUCAUGACAACAUUUACUUUUUAUUUUCUAUUUCAGCAGCAAUUUUUUGAACUUUGCGAUGUGUUGUUCCAUAAAAAAAAUCCUCAAUAUCUAAAGGCCUUAAGCAUCUUUGAGCUUUUUUCUAAGUUACUAUAGAAUGUAUAAUUUUAUAAUCCAUUUAAUGUAUAUUGUACCAUCUGUAAUACUGAUAUAACAGAGAGCUGGCAAUUCCUUUUAGUGACGCUGCAUAAGCAUGCUGAAUGGAGAGGGUGAGAUAGUUCUGAUUUGUUUGCUUUGGUGCACUGAAAUUAAAACCACAAACACUUGAUAGUUGUCAAAAGUAUAUAGGGGCAAACUUAUUUAAAUGUCCUAGGUGGUUACCAGACUCUCACGGAAAGAGGGAAACCCUUUUAUCAUUACCAGCCAUUGACAUGGCUAGGUAGUUAUAAAUUAAGUUCCAUGAUGGAUGAACACCCUGGAGUGCUCUGUCUUUUGCAGUAUCCCCUGCUGUUCCAAAACCAUUUCAUUACCUCUGCUGUAUUAUUGCACAGGAGAGCUUAAAAUAAAUGAUUGUUGGAAAUAAAAUUGAGAUAUGUAUUUUAUCAUUCUGCUGAGGAAUAAUCAAAGAUGUUGGCAGAGAAAGAUAUUCUUUUCUGGUUAAAAUUUAAUUAGGAUAAACUGUUUGUAGCAGAACUAGGUGUCUCAGUAUUUUAGGGUGGAAUAAUAUUGUAUGGAUUUGUGCUAACAGGUGGGAGAGAAGGUAGCAUCUUAAAGAGAUUCUUUUUUUGGGACAGUGCAAAGUAUUAAUGUGCUGUUUUGUAAAAUCUGAAUAUGGCCUCUCUUUGGUCAAAAAUCUGCAUCAUGCUUCUCAAUAUUUGUUUUUUUGUUUCUUUGUUCUUAAACCAACACUGAAAAAACUGUAUUAUAUACAAGUGUAACACAUGCAUAUCAAUAAGUGAAAAUAAAUGGAUUUUCAAAUACACUAAAUAGAUUAUCUGCAGUAGAUUAAUGUUGUGAAUAUUCAUAAUAAGUGAAUAAAAUUGUGAUAUAAAAUGGA